UACGUAGGUGGCAAGCGUUACUCGGAAUCACUAGGCGUAAAGCGCAGGUAGGAGGUUUGGUAAGUCUAUUGUGAAAGCUCCCGGCUUAACUGGGAGAGGUCAAUGGAAACUACCAGGCUGGAGUGCGGUAGAGGUAGCUGGAAUUCCCGGUGUAGCGGUGAAAUGCGUAGAUAUCGGGAGGAAUACCUAUGGCGAAAGCAGGCUACUGGACCGUCACUGACGCUGAGGCGCGAAAGCCAGGGGAGCAAACGGG
rnacentral:rRNA from 1 species